rfam:Mycosphaerella graminicola mitochondrion, complete genome.
GACGUGUUAACUCAAUGGUAGAGUGUUGUACUACGGAUACGAUGGUUGCAGGUUCGAGUCUUGCACGCGUCU